rnacentral:rRNA from 1 species
AUAGAACGCUGGCGGCAUGCCUUACACAUGCAAGUCGAACGGCAGCACGGGAGCAAUCCUGGUGGCGAGUGGCGAACGGGUGAGUAAUAUAUCGGAACGUGCCCAGUCGUGGGGGAUAACGCAGCGAAAGCUGUGCUAAUACCGCAUACGAUCUACGGAUGAAAGCGGGGGAUCGCAAGACCUCGCGCGAUUGGAGCGGCCGAUAUCAGAUUAGCUAGUUGGGGGGGUAAAGGCCUACCAAGGCGACGAUCUGUAGCUGGUCUGAGAGGACGACCAGCCGCACUGGAACUGAGACACGGUCCAGACUCCUACGGGAGGCAGCAGUGGGGAAUUUUGGACAAUGGGCGCAAGCCUGAUCCAGCAAUGCCGCGUGCAGGAUGAAGGCCUUCGGGUUGUAAACUGCUUUUGUACGGAACGAAACGGUGAGCUCUAAUACAGUUUGCUAAUGACGGUACCGUAAGAAUAAGCACCGGCUAACUACGUGCCAGCCGCCGCCGUAA